AGCCUCCACACUUCAGUCCCUAAAUCACAGAGAAAACAAUUCGGCAUGGAGUGAUUCCAAUUUCCACCAUUUUCCUUAUUUUUCCUGCGAUUUCUGUUUGGGUGCUUAGCAAGAUCAUCCUGUACACUCUUCUUCACCAGUGAGAGGAAGCAGUCGAUUAUUAUACACAAAGCGAAAUGGCAUUGAUGAAAAUUGGCAUCAACGAUCUCCCUAACUUCGCAUUGGUUGAAAUACUUUGUUGACUUCCUAGUGGUAAAUUUCUUUCUCAAUGCAAGUUUGUGUGCAAGCGUUGGUUCACUCUCAUGUCCACCCCUAAUUUAAUGGACCGCCUUUUGCUUCUCCGAACUGGAAAUGGAAAGAAAAUGCUGGUGGUACGCACUUUGAUAGACUGCAAUGGGGAGGAAUUCCUAACAGAGUUCAGUCUCCGUCAUCUGAAGGGUUAACUCCUAUGUUGAAAAGGCUCCAGAAUUUCUACGUGCUGAAAAAAGGGCCAGUUGUGGUAGUUACUUACGAUGAUUUAAUUUUGUGCACUGAUGGCUGGUAUUAUCACAAUGAUUACUACAUAUGCAAUCCGUGCACCAUGGAAUGGGUUGCUCUUUCUCCACCCCCUACUCACUGCUUCAACAUCAUGCCAGUGCGAAUCAUCUGCGACAGGCCACCUAACCAUAAGGAAGAUGUUUCAAAAAAAAAAAAACUAUAAGGAAGACAAUCGGAAUGGGCAUUUUAUGCAGCUUAAUGAUCAGUAUAGGUGCAGGGUUGUGAGAAUUCUUCCUCCUAAUGAUGAAUUUAACUUUCACCCCGAUGGAUAUUCCAACGAUUUCAACGUGGAGAUUUUCUCUUCGGAGACUGGAAAAUGGAGAGAGUUAGUUGUCUCUUCCCCACAAGGAAUUUAUUAUGAUACGCUCGACAAUAUGGGCUUUGCGUACAAUGGAGUGUUAUAUUGGUCAGGUCACCGUGAUGGCUGUUUUCUGGUUCUUGGGUUGUAUCCCUUCACUGAUUUAUGAAUGUAGUUUCACUGUAUUUGAUGUGCCUGUACAUGAGAAAUUUGUAGUUGAGUGCCCAACAGUGAGUGGAGGGUUGGUGCGGAUGAGUGACUAUGACAGAGUUACUAGAACCUUGUUUGUUUGGAAUUUGAAAGAACAAGAUGUUGAUUCUAUAGUCGAGGGAGAUAGCAAAUUGUGUUUAAGUAAACAGGAGGUUUAUUCCCUAGACCGAAAAAUGUGUCCGGAUGAUGCUGAAGUUGUUCAGAGGCUACCUUUCGACCCAAACAAUGAGGAUAUUUUUUAUCUACUGGUGGAUGGUGAUAUUAUCUUGUGCAAGAUUCGUACAAGAAAGUGGUCAAAGAUAGUUGAAAAGAUUGCACUCAAUGCCCCAUUUUACUUCUACCCGUUCGUGCUCCCAUGGUGGCCAACACCAGUUCCCAGAUUACCACUCCAUGCCCCGCCGUGGUGGAGGAGCUAGCAGCUCACCAGCAUAUGGGACGCAUCAAAAGUACUAAACUCUUCUUUAUUAAAGUUGGACUAUUUAGCUUUGAUAUAUUUUCAGCUAGCAGUAGCUGUGGACUAGUCUUAGUUUGCUGCAGUGACGUGUUUCUUUUUAUUACAUUUACUUGAUCUACUGUGGCUUCCAUCUUACGUUUCCGGGUUUGCUGUGAAUUUCAAUUUAUUCUAUAUUAUAUGCGCCGGUUAUUUAC